rnacentral:rRNA from 1 species
AUCACGGUGAGUACGCGGCCGCGCCGCAAGAUGAAAACCCUCGCUUCUUCUGAUUUAGCGGCGGACGGGUGAGUAACACGUGGGCAACCUGCCCUGUAGAUUGGGAUAACUCCGGGAAACCGGGGCUAAUACCGAAUAAUCCAUUACCUCACAUGAGGAAAUGUUAAAAGACGGUUUCGGCUGUCACUACAGGAUGGGCCCGCGGCGCAUUAGCUAGUUGGUGAGGUAACGGCUCACCAAGGCGACGAUGCGUAGCCGACCUGAGAGGGUGAUCGGCCACACUGGGACUGAGACACGGCCCAGACUCCUACGGGAGGCAGCAGUAGGGAAUCUUCCACAAUGGACGAAAGUCUGAUGGAGCAACGCCGCGUGAGUGAAGAAGGUUUUCGGAUCGUAAAACUCUGUUGUGAGGGAAGAACAAGUACGAGAGUAACUGCUCGUACCUUGACGGUACCUCAUUAAAAAGCCACGGCUAACUACGUGCCAGCAGCCGCGGUAAUACGUAGGUGGCAAGCGUUGUCCGGAAUUAUUGGGCGUAAAGCGCGCGCAGGCGGUCCUUUAAGUCUGAUGUGAAAGCCCACGGCUCAACCGUGGAGGGUCAUUGGAAACUGGGGGACUUGAGUACAGAAGAGGAAAGCGGAAUUCCCAGUGUAGCGGUGAAAUGCGUAGAGAUUUGGAGGAACACCAGUGGCGAAGGCGGCUUUCUGGUCUGUAACUGACGCUGAGGCGCGGAAGCGUGGGGAGCAAACAGGAUUAAAUACCCUGGUAGUCCACGCCGUAAACGAUGAGUGCUAAGUGUUAGGGGGUUUCCGCCCCUAUGCUGCAGCUAACGCAAUGAUCACUCCAUCUGCGAGUACGUCGCAUGACUG